UAUUAAAAAUCAAUUUAUGGCGCCAUGCAUGGAUAUGUGACAAGUGGAUUUCAAGAUCCGAAUAGUUUCAGAUCAAACCCAUUUAAUUUAAUUAAAUCCUAACAAUUAGAAUGAUUCCAAUUACCAUUGGUUGAACCUAAUCCAAUUAGGUCAAUCUCUAAUUAAGCAUAAAUUUAAUCUAAUUUAAUUUGGUCAACCUAAGUCCUCUUGAUUCAGACCUAAUCCAAUCAGAUCAAAAACCCUGAUUGAGCCCAGAAUUGAAUCUAAUUCAAUUUGGCUCAUCCUUAGUCUAAUUACUCAAUCCAAUUAAGUUCAUUAGCAAUCUAAUU
rnacentral:lncRNA from 1 species